CCUACGGUGAGCAGCAGUGGGGAAUAUUGCACAAUGGGGGAAACCCUGAUGCAGCGACGCCGCGUGAGCGAAGAAGUAUUUCGGUAUGUAAAGCUCUAUCAGCAGGGAAGAAAAUGACGGUACCUGAGUAAGAAGCUCCGGCUAAAUACGUGCCAGCAGCCGCGGUAAUACGUAUGGAGCAAGCGUUAUCCGGCUUUACUGGGCGUGAAGGGAGCGUAGGCGGCCUGCCAAGUCUGAUGUGAAAUACCGGGGCUCAACCCCGGGGCUGCAUUGGAAACUGGCAGGCUGGAGGGCCGGAGAGGCAGGCGGAAUGCCUAGUGUAGCGGUGAAAUGCGUAGAUAUUAGGAGGAACACCAGUGGCGAAGGCGGCCGGCUGGACGGUGACUGACGCUGAGGCUCGAAAGCGUGGGGAGCAAACAGGAUUAGAUACCCCUGUAGUC
rnacentral:rRNA from 1 species